rnacentral:rRNA from 1 species
UACGAAGGGGGCUAGCGUUGUUCGGAAUUACUGGGCGUAAAGGGCGCGUAGGCGGCUUGACGAGUUGGGCGUGAAAGGCCUGGGCUUAACCUGGGAAAUGCGCUCGAUACUGUCGAGCUUGAGUGUGGGAGAGGAUGGUGGAAUUCCCAGUGUAGAGGUGAAAUUCGUAGAUAUUGGGAAGAACACCUGUGGCGAAGGCGGCCAUCUGGACCACAACUGACGCUGAGGCGCGAAAGCGUGGGGAGCAAACAGG